GACGUCUGGCAUUCAUCGUUUACGGUGUGGACUACCAGGGUAUCUAAUCCUGUUUGCUCCCCACACUUUCGCACCUCAGCGCCAGUAUCGAGCCAGUAAGCCGCCUUCGCCACUGGUGUUCCUCCGAAUAUCUACGAAUUUCACCUCUACACUCGGAAUUCCACUUACCUCUCUCGAACUCAAGACUAGCAGUAUUAAAGGCAGUUCCAGGGUUGAGCCCUGGGAUUUCACCUCUAACUUACUAAUCCGCCUACGUGCGCUUUACGCCCCGUAAUUCCGAACAACGCUAACCCCCUCCGUAUUACCGCGGCUGCUGGCACGGAGUUAGCCGGGGUUUCUUUACCAGAUACUGUCAUUAUCAUCUCUGGCGAAAGUGCUUUACGACCCUAAGGCCUUCAUCACACACGCGGCAUGGCUAGAUCAGGGUUUCCCCCAUUGUCUAAGAUUCCCUACUGCUGCCUCCCGUAGGAGUCUGGGCCGUGUCUCAGUCCCAGUGUGGCUGAUCAUCCUCUCAAACCAGCUAUAGAUCGUAGGCUUGGUAGGCCAUUACCCCACCAACUACCUAAUCUAACGCGGGCUAAUCCUUCUCCGAUAAAUCUUUCCCCCGAAGGGCGUAUAAGGUAUUACUCUCAGUUUCCCGAGGCUAUUCCUUAGAGAAGGGCAUAUUCCCACGCGUUACUCACCCGUCCGCCGCUCAUCCCGAAGGAUGCGCUCGACUUGCAUGUAUUAGGCCUGCCGCCAGCGUUCGUUCUGAGCCAGGAUCAAACUCU
rnacentral:rRNA from 1 species